UUGCCUCUUCUGGAUGGGUAUGUGAGUACCGGAGCUGAGUUAGACAUCUCCAAAGCUGCGCUGCUGUACACCAGGAAAAGGACCUAGUACCAACCCAUGUUUCCAGGAGUCUUAUUUGGCUUCCUUUAUUCAAGAAGGGCUGAGUGCACUCUCUGUUUGUUUUGUGCUGUGCCUGUUGGGCACAUUGCUCGCUAUCGCUCUGCUCUUAAUAGACGAUCUUUUCACGGAGGUUGAGAACAUCUAUAUUUAGAAAACAAUACAAGAUGUACAAGAUGGAAAAUUUAGAGAAAAGCAGGAGCUCACUGAAAAAAAGAGGAGGGGGUGGCAAGGAAAUGAGCACAGACCCUGUUCACCACAGGCGCCAUCCCUGGCAUCCAGGCUCGAUUGCUCUUCCUUGGAAAGUGGAGUCAUUGUGGAUCUGAGAAAAUACACCACGGCCAAGGAAAACAUGGAUACAGUACAGGAAUCCAGGCAACGACAGAUGGUUGUAUCAUCCAGGAAAAGCCUGUCCACGUGGCUCCAAAGGUCCCAUAUAUUCUCUUUGUUAGGGCUUGGUCAGUAUAUGGCGAUCCAUUAAGGGCAGUGGCUUCUUUCUGGACAAGGAGUGGUUUAUUUCUUUGCGGUUUCUGGAAGUUCAGGAUUGGGGAUUCUUACACUGAAAUGUCUCCCAACAGGAUCUGGUUUAAGGUCUCUCAGAAAAGGACGCUUUGCAAAGAUCAGUGGGCAAAACACUCAGAUUGUUGUUGUGUUUUGGUUUGGUUUUUUGAGACAGGGUUUCACUGUGUAGCCAUUUAUAUUCUGGAACUCGCUCUGUAGAUCGGCUACAGAAAAU
rnacentral:lncRNA from 1 species